rnacentral:rRNA from 1 species
UACGUAGGGUGCAAGCGUUGUCCGGAAUUAUUGGGCGUAAAGAGCUCGUAGGCGGUCUGUCGCGUCUGCUGUGAAAACCUAGGGCUUAACCCUGGGCCUGCAGUGGGUACGGGCAGACUAGAGUGCGGUAGGGGAGACUGGAAUUCCUGGUGUAGCGGUGAAAUGCGCAGAUAUCAGGAGGAACACCGGUGGCGAAGGCGGGUCUCUGGGCCGUAACUGACGCUGAGGAGCGAAAGCAUGGGUAGCGAAC